UAGGGAAUCUUCCACAAUGGACGCAAGUCUGAUGGAGCAACGCCGCGUGAGUGAAGAAAGGCUUUCGGGUCGUAAAACUCUGUUAUUGAAGAAGAACGUGUGUGACAGUAACUGGUCAUGCAGUGACGGUAUUCAAUCAGAAAGUCACGGCUAACUACGUGCCAGCAGCCGCGGUAAUACGUAGGUGGCAAGCGUUGUCCGGAUUUAUUGGGCGUAAAGCGAGUGCAGGCGGUCUUUUAAGUCUGAUGUGAAAGCCUUCGGCUUAACCGAAGAAGGGCAUCGGAAACUGGGAGACUUGAGUGCAGAAGAGGAGAGUGGAACUCCAUGUGUAGCGGUGAAAUGCGUAGAUAUAUGGAAGAACACCAGUGGCGAAGGCGGCUCUCUGGUCUGUAACUGACGCUGAGGCUCGAAAGCGUGGGUAGCAAACAGGAUUAGAUACCCUGG
rnacentral:rRNA from 1 species